GAUCAUAACAUGUUGAGAGUUCGUCUUUGUGAAGCAUGAUUUGAUGAAGAAUCGAUUAAACGAAGGGAUAAUGGUUCAUUAAUCGCUCAUAUUGCUAAACUUGAAGCUCAGGUGGAGAUGGUCAAAUGAAUGAUUUAGUUUGCUGCUAUUAUCAUUGGAACCGCGAUUGGUUUAAACGUGGUAAAUGGAGUUAGUUGAGCCAGUCCUCAGAGUGUUGUCAUAACCGAAAGGUAACCUUAAACAGAUUACUUCUUUGGUUGUGAAGAUCGUGUGAUUUUGGAAUAAGAUCGUGUGAUUCUUGAAGUCAUGCAUUAUUUGUGGAAUUUAAGCUAUUUAGUUGAUUUAUGUUUGCGUUUUUUUGUGAGAGAAGUCAAAUGAUUUUGUUACUUUUCUUCAUUUGAUAGUGCGGUUUUGUGAUAGGACUACAACUUGCCCCUUUCAUUAAUCUUAGUGUUAGUGUAUAAGUAAAUGAUUCCAAACUGCUUGAAAUUUCCACAGGUCCCAAAUCGUCACUCAUAAGAAAAUUAUUCAUAUAAAUAGCUUUUGCCGUCGACAUAACUGUUUUGUGUUUUCUAUCUUAAUUUGUGUUUCUAUUGUAGUAUACGACGCCGUUGACAUUUUCGGGAUCUCACAAGGACCGAGGAAGUGGAGGAGGUAGGGGUUCGGGUACUACAAGUUGUAGGGGGUCUACGGUGAGGCCAAGUUUAGACAUGAACAAUCUUAUAAAGUUGUUCAACGGUUUGGAUUUGUUAAAACUCGAGCUUAAUCGAUUGGAAAUUGAAGUCACAUGUGAU